AGGCUUAACACAUGCAAGUCGACGCCCCGCAAGGGGAGCGGCAGACGGGUGAGUAACGCGUGGGAACGUACCCUUUACUACGGAAUAACGCAGGGAAACUUGUGCUAAUACCGUAUGUGCCCUUCGGGGGAAAGAUUUAUCGGUAAAGGAUCGGCCCGCGUUGGAUUAGCUAGUUGGUGGGGUAAAGGCCUACCAAGGCGACGAUCCAUAGCUGGUCUGAGAGGAUGAUCAGCCACAUUGGGACUGAGACACGGCCCAAACUCCUACGGGAGGCAGCAGUGGGGAAUAUUGGACAAUGGGCGCAAGCCUGAUCCAGCCAUGCCGCGUGAGUGAUGAAGGCCCUAGGGUUGUAAAGCUCUUUCACCGGAGAAGAUAAUGACGGUAUCCGGAGAAGAAGCCCCGGCUAACUUCGUGCCAGCAGCCGCGGUAAUACGAAGGGGGCUAGCGUUGUUCGGAAUUACUGGGCGUAAAGCGCACGUAGGCGGAUCGAUCAGUCAGGGGUGAAAUCCCAGGGCUCAACCCUGGAACUGCCUUUGAUACUGCGAUCUGGAGUAUGGAAGAAGUGAGUGGAAUUCCGAGUGUAGAGGUGAAAUUCG
rnacentral:rRNA from 1 species